rnacentral:lncRNA from 1 species
AGUGCCAAAAUAUAAUUGUCGUUUUUUUUAUUCUACAAAUUUCUUUCAAAAUAAACGUAUAUAGGAGAAUUCGAAUAUAGGGAAAGAUUAAGCACAUGAGCUUUACUUGCUAGGGUCACACAAUUAAAUAUAAUUCGGACCACUAAAUCACCAAGAAAUACUUCAAUGCUUCUUUUCAAGAAUAAUAUUCCUUCAUCAACUGAUAACUACAAUGUGUAACCCUGCACUCUCAAAAGACUGUUCAAAACACAAUAAUUUCCAUCCAAUACUAGGAAUAACAAACUUCACUCCAACUAAUCUGGAUUCAUAGAAUUUCUGUAAUCAUAGACUUUCUUUGUCCAAAACACACACAACUCUCAAUAAAUAAUAAUCAUAAUCUUCUAAUCAUAAUCAAUCUUUCAAUAACUUUUUAUAUAAUUCAAUCACAUAAUACUCCAAUUACAUAAUCAAUAACUCAUAAAUCAAUCUCUAAUUUAUUCUACAAACUCACUUCUCAAUAUUCAAAAACUAUCCAUUACUUUUCAACAACAAAGACAACAAAGCAAACAAAGAGGUAGUACCAAGCUUAACCCUAGCUCAUGACUAUC